rnacentral:rRNA from 1 species
GUAAGUAAGCUAUGAUCCAGAGAUUUCCGAAUGGGGGAACCCAAUAUCUUUUAUAGGAUAUUACUUUUCAGUGAAUACAUAGCUGAUUAGAGGUAGACGCAGAGAACUGAAACAUCUUAGUACCUGCAGGAAGAGAAAGAAAAUUCGAUUCCCUGAGUAGCGGCGAGCGAAACGGGAAGAGCCCAAACCAACAAGCUUGCUUGUUGGGGUUGUAGGACUCCAAUAUGGUAGUCUGUUAGUAUAGUUGAAGGAUUUGGAAAAUUCCGCUAAAGAGGGUGAAAGCCCCGUAGACGAAAUGCUGACAACACCUAGGAGGAUCCUGAGUACGGCGGAACACGAGAAAUUCCGUCGGAAUCCGCGGGGACCAUCCCGCAAGGCUAAAUACUCCCUAGUGACCGAUAGUGAACCAGUACCGUGAGGGAAAGGUGAAAAGCACCCCGGAAGGGGAGUGAA